rnacentral:rRNA from 1 species
UACAGAGGGGGCAAGCGUUGUUCGGAAUUACUGGGCGUAAAGAGCUCGUAGGUGGUUUGUCGCGUUGUUCGUGAAAACUCACAGCUCAACUGUGGGCGUGCGGGCGAUACGGGCAGACUGGAGUACUGCAGGGGAGACUGGAAUUCCGGGUGUAGCGGUGGAAUGCGUAGAGAUCCGGAAGAACACCGGUGGCGAAGGCGGUCUGCUGGGCAGUAGCUGACACUGAGGCGCGACAGCGUGGGGAGCAAACAGG